rnacentral:rRNA from 1 species
AACGAACGCUGGCGACAUGCCUAACACAUGCAAGUCGAACGAGACCUUCGGGUCUAGUGGCGCACGGGUGCGUAACGCGUGGGAACCUGCCCUUAGGUUCGGAAUAACUCCCCGAAAGGGGUGCUAAGACCGGAUGAUGUCUUCGGACCAAAGAUUUAUGGCCUUUGGAUGGGGCCGCGUUGGAUUAGCUAGUUGGUAGUGUAAAAGCCUACCAAGGAGACGAUCCAUAGCUGGUCUGAGAGGAUGAUCAGCCACACUGGGACUGAGACACGGCCCAGACUCGGACGGGAGGGAGCAGUGGGGAAUAUUGGACGAGGGGCGAAAGCCUGAUCCAGCAGUGCCGCGUGAGUGAUGAAGGCCUUAGGGUUGUAAAGCUCUUUUACCCGGGAUGAUAAUGACGGUAACGGGAGAAGAAGCACCGGCUAACUCCGUG